rnacentral:rRNA from 1 species
AUGGAGGGUUCUGGGCUGAAUUUCCUGCUCGACGCCGUUGACAGGUUCCCAUUGCGAGAGGAGUUCGCCAACAACAUCGAGCAGCCAGAUCCGGUUCCUAUGGCCUUCUUGCCCAACAACGAAGCUGGUCUUGCCGUUCAUGAAGACUCGAAUGCUGGGUCUGGGUGCGCUAAGCAGCUUGGCGGCGAUGGGACUGGUAGAGAAGGAGUUAGUGUCCACCGGCGUCGGGAUGCAUCUCCGACGAGGUCGGCGCAGUCGACCGACCGAGUCAUUCUGGAGGCACCUAGAUGGACGAAAAGAAAUUAG